CAUUUUAAAGUGCCAAUUAAACGAAAAUUAUGCUAGUUAAAUUAUAUCUGUAUUGACCAGAACUUUUGAAAUGACAGAAUGGUAAAUAUUCGUUUC